AUUGAACGCUGGCGGCAGGCCUAACACAUGCAAGUCGAACGAGUGGCGGACGGGUGAGUAAUGUCUGGGAAACUGCCUGAUGGAGGGGGAUAACUACUGGAAACGGUAGCUAAUACCGCAUACCAUCAGAUGUGCCCAGAUGGGAUUAGCUAGUUGGUGGGUUAACGGCUCACAAAGACGACGAUCCCUAGCUGGUCUGAGAGGAUGACCAGCCACACGGGAACUGAGACACGGUCCAGACUCCUACGGGAGGAAUCAGUGGGUAAUAUUGCACAAUGGGCGCAAGCCGGAUGCAGCCAUGCGGGGUGUAUGAAGAAGGCCUUGGGGUUGUAAAGUACUUUCAGCGGGGAGGCGUUACCCGCAGAAGAAGCACCGGCUAACUCCGUGCCAGCAGACGCGGUAAUUC
rnacentral:rRNA from 1 species